GCCGAAGUGGUGAAAUUGGUAGACACGCCGUCUUGAGGGGGCGGUACGGGAAACCGUGUAGGGGUUCGAAUCCCCUCUUCGGCACCA
rnacentral:tRNA from 1 species